rnacentral:rRNA from 1 species
UGGGGAAUAUUGCACAAUGGGGGAAACCCUGAUGCAGCGACGCCGCGUGAGCGAAGAAGGUUUUCGAAUCGUAAAGCUCUGUCCUAUGAGAAGAUAAUGACGGUAUCAUAGGAGGAAGCCCCGGCUAAAUACGUGCCAGCAGCCGCGGUAAUACGUAUGGGGCGAGCGUUGUCCGGAAUUAUUGGGCGUAAAGGGUACGUAGGCGGUCUAUUAAGUCAGGUGUGAAAGCGUGAGGCUUAACCUCAUUAAGCACUUGAAACUGAUAGACUUGAGUGAAGGAGAGGAAAGUGGAAUUCCUAGUGUAGCGGUGAAAUGCGUAGAUAUUAGGAGGAAUACCGGUGCGAAGGCGACUUUCUGGACUUUUACUGACGCUCAGGUACGAAAGCGUGGGGAGCAAACAGG